rnacentral:rRNA from 1 species
AGCGCGAUGAGGGAAUCCCAAGUGCUUGCUCGUAAGAGUAAGCUGUUUUUAUGUCUAAAAAGCAUAGAGAGUAAGGGCUGGGUAAGACGGGUGCCAGCCGCCGCGGUAAUACCUGCAGCUCAAGUGGUGAUCAUUAUUAUUGGGCCUAAAACGUCCGUAGCCGGUUUGGUAAAUGCCUGGGUAAAUCGUGUAGCUUAACUAUACGAAUUCCGGGUAGACUGCCAAACUUGGGACCGGGAGAGGCUAGAGGUACUCCUGGGGUAGAGGUGAAAUUCUGUAAUCCUAGGGGGACCACCAGUGGCGAAGGCGUCUAGCUAGAACGGGUCUGACGGUCAGGGACGAAGCCCUGGGGCGCGAACCGGAUUAGAUACCCGGGUAGUCCAGGGUGUAAACGCUGCUUGCUUGAUGUUAGUUGGGCUCCGAGCCCAAUUAGUGUCGGAGAGAAGUUGUUAAGCAAGCUGCCUG